AAACCAUGGUGGGGACAAGCAUUUAACAAGUCCUUAAACUUUUCCCAAGCUUGGUGAAAUGAGUCA
rnacentral:sRNA from 1 species